UACGUAGGUGGCAAGCGUUGUCCGGAUUUACUGGGCGUAAAGAGCGCGCAGGCGGUCGAUCAAGUCGCGUGUGAAAGCCCCCGGCUCAACUGGGGAGGGUCACGCGAUACUGAUCGACUCGAAGGCAGGAGAGGGUAGUGGAAUUCCCGGUGUAGUGGUGAAAUGCGUAGAUAUCGGGAGGAACACCAGUGGCGAAGGCGACUACCUGGCCUGUUCUUGACGCUGAGGCGCGAAAAGCUAGGGGAGCAAACGGG
rnacentral:rRNA from 1 species